rnacentral:rRNA from 2 species
CACCGCGGUUAUACGGGUGACUCAAGUUGUUGGUCAUCGGCGUAAAGAGUGGUUAAGACAAACUAUAUAUUAAAGCCGAACGCCCUCAGAGCCGUUAUACGCUUCCGAGGGUAAGAAGUCCAAUCACGAAAGUGGCUUUAUUGUGUCUGAUCCCACGAAAGCUAUGGCACAAACUGGGAUUAGAUACCCCACUAUGCUUAGCCUUAAACAUUGGUAAUAUUCUACACCCAUUACCCGCCCGGGUACUACGAGCAUCAGCUUGAAACUCAAAGGACUUGGCGGUGCUUUAGAUCCACCUAGAGGAGCCUGUCCUAUAACCGAUAACCCCCGUUAAACCUCACCUUUUCUUGUUUAACCCGCCUAUAUACCACCGUCGCCAGCUUACCCUGUGAAGGUCCUGUAGUGAGCAAAAUUGGCACAGCCCAGAACGUCAGGUCGAGGUGUAGCGUAUGAAAAGGGAAGAGAUGGGCUACAUUCUCUAAUAUAGAGAAUACGGACGAUACUUUGAAACACGUAUACUGAAGGAGGAUUUAGCAGUAAGCAAAAAACAGAGCGUUUUGCUGAAGCCGGCCCUGAAGCGCGCACACACCGCCCGUCACUCUCUCCAAGCGUAUGAAAGCAUAUUAAUAAAACAUUACAGUUGCGAAGGGGAGGCAAGUCGUAA